UACGUAGGAGGCAAGCGUUGUCCGGAAUUACUGGGCGUAAAGCGCGUGUAGGUGGUGGGACAAGUCUGCUGUGAAAGCGCCUGGCUUAACCGGGCGAGGUCGGCGGAAACUGUCCGACUAGAGGACGGUAGAGGGGGGUGGAAUUCCCGGUGUAGUGGUGAAAUGCGUAGAGAUCGGGAGGGACACCUGUGGCGAAGGCGGCCCCCUGGGCCGGCCCUGACACUGAGACGCGAAGGCGUGGGGAGCGAACGGG
rnacentral:rRNA from 1 species